rnacentral:rRNA from 1 species
AGCUUGCUAAUAAUUCUCUAGUGGCGCACGGGUGAGUAACACGUGAGUAACCUGCCCCCAAGAGUGGGAUAGCCCCGGGAAACUGGGAUUAAUACCGCAUAAAAUCGCAAGAUUAAAGCAGCAAUGCGCUUGGGGAUGGGCUCGCGUCCUAUUAGUUAGUUGGUGAGGUAACGGCUCACCAAGGCGAUGACGGGUAGCCGGUCUGAGAGGAUGUCCGGCCACACUGGAACUGAGACACGGUCCAGACACCUACGGGUGGCAGCAGUCGAGAAUCAUUCACAAUGGGGGAAACCCUGAUGGUGCGACGCCGCGUGGGGGAAUGAAGGUCUUCGGAUUGUAAACCCCUGUCAUGUGGGAGCAAAUUAAAAAGAUAGUACCACAAGAGGAAGAGACGGCUAACUCUGUGCCAGCAGCCGCGGUAAUACAGAGGUCUCAAGCGUUGUUCGGAAUCACUGGGCGUAAAGCGUGCGUAGGCGGUUUCGUAAGUCGUGUGUGAAAGGCGGGGGCUCAACCCCCGGACUGCACAUGAUACUGCGAGACUAGAGUAAUGGAGGGGGAACCGGAAUUCUCGGUGUAGCAGUGAAAUGCGUAGAUAUCGAGAGGAACACUCGUGGCGAAGGCGGGUUCCUGGACAUUAACUGACGCUGAGGCACGAAGGCCAGGGGAGCGAAAGGGAUUAGAUACCCCUGUAGUCCUGGCAGUAAACGGUGCACGCUUGGUGUGC